UUUAACCAAAUUGUAGCCCUCUGCUCCCUUGCUGCAGCCUCAGCCCCUCAGACAGUGUGCGUUUCUUCUGGCCAGGGCCCAGCUUGCAGUGAGAAGCAGAAAACAAUCCCCGGAAAUCUGAAAAAUGUGUAACAAGGAAAGAAAAUGUUGAGCCUACCAAAGCAAACAGACACAGCCUUGCCCCUGGUGUUUGUGUCGUGAGGUUCAAGGGAGAGCAGGGAAGAAGGAAACGAGCCCGAAAACAAACCCCCAAGCCCUGCUGGAGGCCAGAGCACAGCCUGUGAUCUAAGAAAUCCAAGAAUCUGCCCGCAGAGGCCCGAGGGCGGGGCAGGUGGGCUGAGGGGCCGGGGCCGGCGAUGGCGCCGGGCAGGACAAGCACACGGACACUGUGAGCUCAGGGUGACGGGCGUGGGCCUCCACUGCUCCCUGCUUCUCUUCCGCUUUGCUGCCAUUUCCAUGGUCGCCGAGACGGAAAACAUGCACGUCCCUGCUGUCCUUGAUCCACAAGGACGGGCUGAGCCGGGGGCAGGCAGCCUGGACACUCAGACAGAGACCAGGGACCCCGACCUCUGUGGCAACCAGCUCCUGCGUGUUCCCUGCCUGGCUGGACUGAGGUCACUGGGACAGGCUGUGGCUUGGCUGCAUCCGUGGGAGCCCUGUGGAAGCUCACAGACUUCACCGCCAAGGGCUGGCUGGAGCCACACGUGACCGCUGCAGGGGCCAGGUGUCCGGGACUGCAGGUGGCCUCCACAGGUGAGCAGCCCCAGCCAACAGCCAGCAAGAAAGGGACCUCAGAAGUGCAGACGCACGAAGAUGAGUAUCUAUGGCCCGAGACCCACAAGGAGAGCGGCUGGGCCACAUCUCGAUUUUGUCCUGUGAGACCCUAAACACAGAGUCAAGCUGCAUGGCUCCGAGUGCCUGCCCUUUGGACGCCGAGCUAAUAAAGCGAGUGUUGGUUAAUCGUCUCCGUCUGUGAUGAUUUAUUACACAGAGAUGGCGAACUCUUAAACCAGCAAUGCAAAUCUAUGGGCUUAAA
rnacentral:lncRNA from 1 species